rnacentral:snRNA from 1 species
GGAUGUGAAGGUGAUCUGGAUGUGAUAUUUCUCAUCCUAUUAAUCACUAGCACUCAUUCAGCUGAUCUGGCAGGCUAGGUGGCCCUUUUUCCAUCACCAUUCCAUGAGUGUCCCUCGAGGCUGUGUGCCCUAUCAAAGAGGACAGCCUUCUCCAGUAGAGAAGGAUCAUUUCCUUGGUCAAAAGUAUAUGUGUAGCUGCACUGCCCUGCUAGAACUUCCUAACAAGUUUUCAAAUUAGGUUAAUGCAUUUCUGGAAGUGACCUCAUUAUUCCUCGCUGCAUAGUAAAGUCAGACUAAGUGUUCUU